rnacentral:rRNA from 1 species
GACGUAGGGCGCGAGCGUUGUCCGGAUUUAUUGGGCGUAAAGAGCUCGUAGGCGGUUUGUUGCGUCGGCUGUGAAAUCCCGAGGCUCAACCUCGGGUCUGCAGUCGAUACGAGCAAACUAGAGUGUUGCAGGGGAGACUGGAAUUCCUGGUGUAGCGGUGAAAUGCGCAGAUAUCAGGAGGAACACCGGUGGCGAAGGCGGGUCUCUGGGCCGACACUGACGCUGAGGAGCGAAAGCGUGGGGAGCGAACAGG